ACGGAAGGCAGCAGUCGGGAAUAUUGCACAAUGGGGGAAACCCUGAUGCAGCAACGCCACGUGUGGGAAGAAGCAUUUCGGUGUGUAAACCACUGUCGUGAGGGAAUAAAGCUGGAGUUGUCCAGUUGAAUGUACCUCGAAAGGAAGCACCGGCAAACUUCGUGCCAGCAGCCGCGGUAAUACGAGGGGUGCAAGCGUUGUUCGGAAUCACUGGGCGUAAAGGGAGCGCAGGCGGAAGUGCAAGCGGUCUGUACAAUACCGGGGCCCAACCCCGGACCUGCAGACCGGACUGCAUUGCUUGGAUAGUUCAGGGGCAAGCGGAAUUCCUGGUGUAGCGGUGGAAUGCGUAGAGAUCAGGAAGAACACCGAUGGCGAAGGCAGCUUGCUGGGGACUUAUCGACGCUCAUGCUCGAAAGUGCGGGUAGCAAACAGGAUUAGAUACCCUGGUA
rnacentral:rRNA from 1 species